rnacentral:lncRNA from 1 species
GUCCAGGUAUUGUUGAAUAAUUUGCUGCUGGACUUGCAAAGAAGUCUGCAACUGCAGACCAAUCUUCAGUCAAGGCUGCAGCUUGGUGACUAGAAAUGUGAAACUAAAGACCAGCUUUGAAAGGUUGAACAGCAGUCAAGCUGUAGUGGGAACACUUGACUAGGAGUAGUGAGGACACAGAUUUUUGGUAGGCCAUUGUGUCCUUAGCUAAUAAGUAUUGCAGGCUUAUCCUGCAGCUAGGAUAGUAGACUCUGACUGCAGUACAGCAGCCCACCUUCAGUAGCUUCAGUUCAUACACAAACUGAACCUACCCCUUUGUGUAUAUAAGUGCAGCCCUAGUAAUGUAUUUUUCAGUUCAGUUGCCACAAACCAAAGAGCAGAGCUCUGGCCAGCGCUGGUGCUUGUGCUAUGUGUAUGUGUGCUUGAGCUCAACCCCUUCUUCUACCUCUAGCCAUAGUGAGUGAGUGUGUGGGUGUGCUGGUAAGCUUACUGCUUACCUGUGCAGGAAUCCCAGGGACUAACAAGUGGUAUCAGAGUCGUAUAGCUGUGUCGCCGGACUAACCGCCGGCGAUGGCACCUGGCUCAGAGACGGCUGACAGCAGCAGUGCUGCUGGGGCUGCCUAGCCACGACAGGAGGUCGUUGUGCGCACCGUGCGGGAGGUCAGCGGCACAAGUUGGCCGAUGCUGACUCGCACCAACUAUGGCGAGUGGGCGGUGACCAUGAAGGUCAAGCUCAGAGCCCGACGGCUGUGGAAUGCCAUUGACAAGGGCACCGACAAUGAAGAAGACGACAUGUCAGCGAUGGAGGCUAUCCUCGCUGCUGUGCCGACGGAGUACAGGGAGCCGUUAGGGGCGAAGAAGACUGCUAAGGAGGCGUGGGAGAAGGCAACGGCCCAGCUGCUGAAGCAGGAGUACGCCAACCUCAAGUUCAAGGAUGGAGAGUCGGUGGAGGAGUUCUCCCUCCGCCUGUCGUCGCUCAUCAGCAAGCUGGGGAGCUACAGCGUCACCAUCAACGAAGAAGAGGCAGUCUCCAAGUACCUCCACUCCGUGCCACCGAAGUACAUCCAAAUUGCUCUCUCCGUAGAGACAAUGUUGGACUUGUCCACCCUCACUAUUGAGGAUGUGACCGGCCGUCUGCGGGCGGUGGACGAGCGCAUGGAGUAGGCCACAGCAACGACGGACAGCGGCAAGCUACUGCUGACAGAGGAGGAGUGGGCUGCCCGGUUGAAGGAGAAGAAGUCCGGGGAUGCCUCCUCCAGCCGCGGUGGCGAUGGCAAGCGCCGUGGCAAGGCUUCUUCGGAGAAGAAGAAGAAGAUCGACCCCAACGCUUGCAGGCGCUGCGGGAAGACAGGCCAUUGGGCAAAGGAGUGCCCAAAUCGCAAGCAGGAGAAGAAGACCGAAGCUCAUUUGGCGCAGGCUGAUGAUGAUGAUGAGGCCACUCUCAUGAUGGCGACGUUCUGUGCACUGCACAACGUUGAGGCCAAGGAGAAGGGAGAGGUGAUGGUGGUACAGGAGCACGGGAAGGCUCUGAAGGUCGUCAACCUCGACGAGCCGCGUGCCCAAGUCCACCUCGGACGUGUGGGCAGCGAGCAGGAGCAGCAGUGGUACCUGGACUCCGGCGCCAGCAACCACAUGACGGGUUCCAAGGAGGCCUUCUCCGAGCUCGACGGGAACGUGACCGGCACGGUGAAGUUUGGUGACGGCUCAAGGGUGGCGAUCCAAGGGCGUGGCACCAUCAUCUUCAGGUGCCAGAACGGCGAGCACCGCGCACUGACGGAUGUGUAUUACAUCCCGCAGCUGUGUUCAAGCAUCAUCAGCAUUGGCCAGCUAGAUGAGCGCGGCAGCGAGGUGCUGAUCAAGGACGGCGUCCUCAAGAUCAGGGACCGGGAGCAGCGACUUCUUGCCAAGGUGAAGAGGUCCUGAAACCAGCUGUACCUUCUCGACUUGAAGGUGGAGCAGCCCAUCUACCUGGCGGCACAGUGCAUGGAGGAGCCAUGGCUGUGGCACGCCCGCUAUGGCCAUCUCAGCUUCGACGCCCUCGGCAAGCUGGAGAAGAUGGUCCGGGGGCUGCCUCACAUUGAGCACGCAAGCGAGCUGUGUGACAGCUGCCUAGCCGGGAAGCAAAGGAGGCUGUCGUUCCCGAAGAUGGCGAAGUAUCGCGCGGCUGGGGCCCUGGAGCUGGUCCACGGUGACCUCUGUGGGCCAAUCACGCCGGUGACACAUGGAGGCCGCAAGUAUUUCAUCUUGCUGGUAGAUGACUGCAGCCGGUUCAUGUGGCUGCAGCUUUUGACCAGCAAGAGCGAAGCGGCGGAAGCAAUCAAGAAGUUCAAGGCACGCGCGGAGGCGGAGAGCAGCAAGAAGUUGCGCGUGCUGCGGACUGAUCGUGGAGGCGAAUUCACUUCUAUGGAGUUCGCUGCGUACUGUGCGGAGGAAGGUGUGGUGCGCCACCACACCGCACCAUACACACCACAACACAAUGGCGUGGUGGAGAGGCGCAACCAGACCGUGGUCGGCAUGGCGAGGUCGAUGAUGAAGGCCAAGAAGAUGUCGGCGGAGUUCUGGGGCGAGGCGGUGACCACAACGGUGUUCAUCCUCAAUCGUGCGCCCACCAAGGCCUUGAAAGGCAAGACGCCGUUCGAAGCUUGGCAUGGACGCAAGCCUAAUGUCUCCUUCCUCAGGACAUUUGGUUGCAUUGGCCAUGUCAAGAACACAAAGCCCCACCUCGGCAAGCUGGAAGACAGAAGCACCCCCAUGGUGCUGUUGGGCUACGAGGAGGGCAGCAAGGCCUAUCGGCUCUAUGAUCCCAAGAGAGGCAAGGUGGUGAUCUCUAGGGAUGUGGUGUUCGAUGAGAUGGCUGCUUGGGAUUGGGUGCAGCAAGGCGCCGGGGAAGCUGGUGGCGUCAGCAGCACCUUCACCAUCGAGCACUUGGUGAUGCAAGGAGGCGGCGCUGGAGCGCAGGCUGCUGCUGCUACUGUUGGAGAGCAGGCUGCUGCAGAUGUUGGAGAGCAGGCUGCAGCUGCUACAGAGCAGGCUGCUACUGCUGCAGAUGUUGGAGAGCAGGCUGCAGCUGCUACAGAACAGACUGCUGCUGGAGAGCAGUCUCCACCAGCAGCAGCGCAUUUACCUCCACCACAGUCCCCUGCGACAGCAGGACAGGGGACACCACCACUGGAAUUCGCUUCUCCACCCACCAACAUCGAUGAGUACGUGGAUGCUUUCCACGACGGCGAGGAGGUCCGGUUCAGACGCGUGGACAACAUUGUCGGCGAAGGACGAGCUCCUGGGUUGGCUAGUCGGCUUCUAGAUGACCCAGAGCUACUCCUUGUUAGCGCAGAGGAGCCGCCAACGUUCACAGUGGCUGAACGGGACGCCAGUUGGCGUCGGGCAAUGUUGGAGGAGAUGAGGGCGAUCGAGGACAAUGGGACAUGGGAGCUGGUGGAUCCACCAGCGGGCUGCAGGCCAAUUGGGCUAAAGUGGGUCUACAAGGUGAAGCGGGAUGAGUGCGGUGCCAUUGUCAAGUACAAGGCUCGGCUUGUUGCCCGCGGUUUUGUGCAGCGUGAGGGCAUCGACUUCGAGGAAGUCUUUGCUCUGGUGGCGCGCAUGGAGUCCAUUCGCUUGCUGUUGGCUAUGGCAGCAGCGAAAGGAUUGGCGUGUCCACCACCUCGACGUCAAGUCUGCGUUCCUCAACGGCGAGCUUGCGGAGACGGUCUUCGUCAAGCAAGCUCCAGGCUUCGCCUCAAGGGUGCUGAGCACAAGGUGCUCAAGCUGCGCAAGGCGCUCUACGGGCUGCGGCAGGCCCCUCGAGCGUGGAACGCCAAGCUCGAUGCUACCUUAGGCGAGCUUGGGUUCGCUCGCUGCGCCACAGAGCACGCGCUCUAGACGCGGCGACGGGGGAAGGAGGAGCUCGUCGUCGGCGUGUAUGUGGACGAUUUGAUCGUCACUGGAGCGCGAGCGGAGGACAUUGAUCGUUUCAAGCGCGAGAUGGCAGCUCGAUUCAAGAUGAGCGAUCUCGGCAUGCUCUCCUACUACCUCGGCAUUGAGGUGAGGCAGGGGAAGGAGCACAUCUCCCUGGGCCAGCGUGCCUAUGCGAAGAAGCUGCUGGAGCGCGGCGGCAUGGCAGAGUGCAAGCCGUGCGCGACUCCAAUGGAGGAGCGGUUGAAGCUAAGCAAGCACAGCACCGCUGCGAAGGUCGACGCGACGCGCUACCGGAGCAUCGUCGGUGGGCUGCGCUACCUCACUCAUACCCGGACGGACGUUGCGUUCGCGGUUGGGUACGUCAGCCGUUUCAUGGAGGACCCGCGAGAAGAUCAUUGGAUGGCGGUCAAGAGGCUGCUGCGCUACGUCAAAGGGUCGCUUGAUCAAGCGAUCAUCUUCCCCAAGCGUGGCGGCAAAGGUGGGCUAAGGCUCACGAUCUUCAGCGAGACACCCCCCAAGACCGAAGGUGAGCCGGAGCUUACUGUUUUCAGCGAUGCAGACAUGGCAGGCGACAUUGAUGGUCGACGGAGCACCUAUGGUGUGCUCGUCUUCCUUGGAGCAGCGCCCAUUGCUUGGCAGUCGCUGAAGCAAAAAAUCGUGGCGCUAUCGACAUGUGAGGCGGAGUAUGUCGCAGCAGCCACGGCGGCAUGCCAGGCUGUCUGGCUGCGCCGGCUGUUGGGCGAGCUGACUGGCAAGGAAGCUCACCCGCCAGCCCUGAUGGUGGACAAUCAGCCCGCCAUCGCCCUUGCAAAAAACCCAGUCCUCCACGACCGCAGCAAGCACAUCGACACUCGUUUUCACUUCAUCCGUGAUUGUGUCGAUGGAGGACAGAUUGUUCUGGAGUUUGUCGAAACCGGACGACAGCUCGCAGACAUCCUCACCAAGCCACUCGGCCGUCUUCGGUUUAUGGAGCUGAGGACCAAGAUUGGAAUGGUGAAAAUCAAGCAAGAGCAGCAAGAUUAGGGGAGGAAUUGUUGAAUAAUUUGCUGCUGGACUUGCAAAGAAGUCUGCAACUGUAGACCAAUCUUCAGUCAAGGCUGCAGCUUGGUGACUAGAAAUGUGAAACUAAAGACCAGCUUUGAAAGGUUGAACAGCAGUCAAGCUGUAGUGGGAACACUUGACUAGGAGUAGUGAGGACACAGAUUUUUGGUAGGCCAUUGUGUCCUUAGCUAAUAAGUAUUGCAGGCUUAUCCUGCAACUAGGAUAGUAGACUUUGACUGCAGUACAGCAGCCCACCUUCAGUAGCUUCAGUUCAUACACAAACUGAACCUACCCCUUUGUGUAUAUAAGUGCAGCCCUAGUAAUGUAUUUUUCAGUUCAGUUGCCACAAACCAAAGAGCAGAGCUCUGGCCAGCGUUGGUGCUUGUGCUAUGUGUGUGUGUGCUUGAGCUCAACCCCUUCUUCUACCUCUAGCCAUAGUGAGUGAGUGUGUGGGUGUCCUGGUAAGCUUACUGCUUACCUGUGCAGGAAUCCCAGGGACUAACAGGUAUUCCUCGCGUUGGCUAUUCAAGAGGGAUGGCGACUCCACCACAAGGACGUUAAGCCCACUUUCCUCAACGGCGACCUCAAGGAAGAGGUGUAGGUGCGCCAGCCACCAGGCUUCACCAUCGUCGAAGAGAGCAAGGUGUGCCGCCUCCACAAGGCACUCUACAGCCUGCGACAAGCUCUGCGCUGCUAGAACGCGAAGCUAGAUGCCACGCUCAAGGAGAUAGGCUUCCAACAGAGCGCGCACGAGGCGGCGGUGUACCGACGGGGCAACGAGCAUACUAUCCUGCUCGUCGGUGUCUACGUCGACGACCUCGAUCAUCACCAGCGCUGAAGGAAAAGUGGAGAAGUUCAAGGCAUAGAUGAAGAUGUUCGACAUGAGCGACUCGGCAUCGAGGUGCACCAGGAUGCCAGCAGCAUCACCCUCCGUCAA